rnacentral:lncRNA from 1 species
AAGAAUGCAUGAUGAGCAUGAUAAAUAAAUAAUGCAAGCAAGUAAUUGGAAUGCAUGAUGAUAAUAAUGCAUAGUGUAAAUGCAUGUUAAAUAAUGAUGCAUAGAGCCAUCCUAGUAAAUGUUAAGUAGAGAGCAUGAUUAACAUAAGAUGCAAAUGCUAAAUGGAAAGCAUGCUAAGUAAUUAAUGCUAGUCGAUGUAAAGAAUGCAUGUACUAAUUAUGCAUAGAUGGAAAUGCUAAGUAGAGAGCAUAAUGAGCA